GCGCGCACGGGCUCUGCGCCUGCGUGCUAGUCCGUACGCGGUGCCAGAGACUGUAAGUGGGCUUCAGCUCGGCCGCGCGCCUGUGGAAGUUCUUUCUCUACUCGGAAAAGGGAAAGCAUUUCCUUGAGUUUGCGUUUUAAGGGAAACUUACAGCAUUGACACUUUAUUUAAAAUAUUCACUACUGCUGUAGAAAAAAAAGAAACCCCGAAAAACAGUGGGGCUGCUUCUAAGACGCUGGGAAUCAGUAAAGAAUAGUGAUCCGGGAGAUACAGGAAGCAAAUGAUCUGAGCUCAAAAAGCGAGCUGCUUUCAAAGAUAUUUGUAUUUUAUAGAUGCGAUGCAGGAGAGUGAACUCAAGCAGAGCCCAGCGGAUUGCCUGCGUUGGCAAAAUAGAACAGAUAUUCUGGGGAGACCAAGAAAUGGUUCGUCUCUCUUGCUGAGGCUGGAGUGCAGUGGCACUAUCUCGACUCACUGCAGCCUCUGCAUCCUGGGCUCAAGAAAUCCUUCUCCCUCAGCCUCCAGUGUAGCUGGGACUACAGGGUAAAACCCGGAAACUUUCAUGAUUAUGAAGAAUCUGGGAAGCAGAGAAAAAGGGACACUGAACAAGGCAGAAGCUACCUGGGUCGGUAUAAUAAAGAGCUAAGCCAGAGAGAAACGAGGUGUUCCAAUGAACUUACAAGAAGAAGGAGAAGGAAGAGGAGGAGGAAGCAGGAAGAAGGUAGGAAGAGGAGAUUGAUGAAGCUCAUCUCACUUUAAUUUUAUGACUACAAAUCUCUUAUAAGCCCUUAAAUUUAACUAGAAAUCACAUAUAGUACCUAAUUGAUUAAUGCUUCUGGGCCUCUGAUGACUUUUCAAACUUUCUCAUUUUCCUCAAAAUUCUAGCAUUGCUACACCAUUCUCUCUUUAGUUGAUGAACUUGUUUCCUAUUUUACUGAAAAAUUUGAAGUAAUCAUUUUUUUCUUUAAGCUUUCCCACCACAAUCAACCCACUGAGCAACAUUUGUGACCAUUUAACUUGGCUUCCCUCUUGCUGUGUAAAACUUUUUAUGCUCCUAUUUAAGGCCAGUUUCUCCCUAUAUGUCAUUCUUUCCUGACUGCUUAAUAAUAUUGCUUUAGAAAAUUAAAUACUUUAUUUCCUUCAUCAUUAAAAUUUUUUUCACUAAUGGAUUGCUUCUGUCAAUGAAAGACAUUGUUAUUUGUGGUUUUGAUUUGCAUUUCUCUAAUGACCUGUGAUGAUGAGCUUUUUUUCAUGUUUAUUGGCCACAUAAAUGUCUUCCUCUGAGAAGUGUCUGUUCAUAUCCUUCACCCACUUUUUGAUGGGGUUAUUUGUUUUUCUCAUACAUUUAUUAAAGUUCCUUGUAGAUUCUGGAGGAAUAGGAAUGCUUUUACGCUGUUGGUGGGAAUGUAAAUUAGUUCAACCAUUGUGGAAGACAGUGUAGCCAUUCCUCAAGGAUCUAGAACCAGAAAUUCCAUUUGACCCAGCAAUUCCGUUACUGGUUAUAUACCCAAAGGAUUAUAAAUCAUUCUACUAUAAAGACACAUGCACAGGUAUGUUUAUUGCAGCACUAUUCACAAUAGCAAAGACCUGGAACCAACGCAAAUGCCCAUCAAUGAUAGACUGGAUAAAGAAAAUAUGGCACAUAUACACCAUAGAAUACUAUGCAGCGAUAAAAAAGAAUGAGAUCAUGUCCUUUGCAGGGACAUGGAUGAAGCUGGAAACCAUCAUCCUCAGCACACUAACACAGGAACAGAAAACCAAACGUCACAGGUCCUCACUCAUAAGUGGGAGUUGAACAAUGAGAACACAUGGACGCAGUGAGGGGAACAUCACAUACCAGGGCCUGUCAGGGGUUGGGGGACGAGGGGAGGGAGAGCAUUAGGACAAAUAUCUAAUGCAUAUGGGGCUUAAAAACUAGAUGAUGGGUUGAUGGGUGCCACAAACCACCAUGGCACAUGUAUACCUAUAUAACAAACCUGCACGUUCUGCACAUGUAUUCCAGAACUUAAAGUACAAUUUUAAAAAAAAGAUAGUGUUGUUUGUUUCAUCUUAAAAAAAACAAAAUAAAACAAAAUAAAACCAAAUACACCAAAAACUUAUUGAUGUUUUCUUCUGUAACUACUGUUCUACUUCUCUGCUCUGAGAAUCUGCUCUUAUUCUUCUCAAAUUUUCUCCUAUCUCCCUCCAAACUGUUCCAAUCAGUUUUUGCUUCAAUACUCUACCAAAACUGCUGUUUUAGUGGUCACCAACAUCUGGAUUUCAGAAUCUGAUGGUCAGUAAUCAGUCUUAAUCUGAUUUCGCCACUAGUAGCAUUUGGCAUUAGAGAUUACUAUAGAUAUAUGUGAUAGGGUGAUAUGGUUUGGAUCUGUGUGUCGACCCCAAUCUUUUUUGGAUUAUAAUCCCCAAUGUUAAAGGUGGGGCCUGGUGGAGGUGAUUGGAUAGAUCAUAGGAGUGGAUUUCUCAUGAAUGAUUUAGUACCAUCUCUUGGUGCUGUUCUUGUGAUAGUGAGCUUUCAUGAGAUCUGGUUGUUUAAAAGUGUGUGGCACCUCCUUCCCUCUCUCUUGCUCAUGCUCUGGCUACAUGACUUCUCCGCUCCUCUUUUACCUUCUGCAAUGAUAGUAAGUUUCCUGGGGCCUUUCCAGAAACUGAGCAGAUGCCAGCAUCAUGCUUCUUAUACAGCCUCCAAAACUGUGGGACAAUUAAACCUCUCUUCUCUAUAAAUUACUCCAUCUCAAGCAUUUAUUUACAGCAAUACGAGAGCCGGUGAAUAGAAAUGGGCUGUCAGCACCGUUUCUUGUUAAUUUUUUUAUGAACUAGGACUGCAGGUACUUUGUAAUUCAACCUGGUUCCCUCCUUAUUAGUGAAUUCACAUGUAUUUGGAAUGGGUGACAAAGUGGAUUCAUGGAUUCAUAUUACUAGGAAGUAAACUAGAUACAGACUUAAAAUCUUCAGGGAAAAAAUGGCUAUAAAAUGCAAGAGAAACAUAUUCUUGGUCUAUUGUACCUUAAUUAUGAGAAUUAAGAAAAGUGACUUUAUCUCUGGACCUAUAUAUUUAAUGUUUUAAAACUAAAAGUCAGAAGAGAUUUCUUCAAUGAUUAAUUGAAUUCAGCCCCUUCAAUGACAGCAACAGCUCAUAAUUACUGACCAUUUCCUAUGUGCCAUGUGCCAUCCUAAGUGUCUAUUUUUCAUUUUCUCAUUUAGAGCUCAUGAAUGGGGAACACAUAAGUCACAUAAUUUGCCCAAAGUCACACAGUUAGUAUGUGCUAAAUCUUGAAUCUGGAGCUAAAACUACUUAACUCUAAAGCAACUAAUAUGCUUAUGGCACUAAACCAGGCUGUGGAGUUUGGAGUUUGAAAUUCAGAGACGGGCCAAAAACUGUCUCUGAUAACUCAAAAUCCACAGUUGAGUGAAGUUCUUGUUGCCACUAAAGUUUGUCAUUUAGACAACUUAUCUCUCACAAUCAAGAUGUGUUACUUAAAAAUCAAGAAAAAUAGAAGUAGUUUUAAAAAUUGCAAGCUAAACAGCAAAAUAAUCAGUAGAGUAAACAGACAACCUACAGAAUGGGAGAAAAUAUUUGCAAACUAUGCAUCUGGCAAAGGUCUAAUAUCCAGAAUCUAUAAGGAACUCAAACAAAUCAACAAGCAACAAACUAACAACCCCAUUAAGGAAUGGGUAAAAAACAUGAACAGACACUUCUCAGAACAAAAUAUGCACAUUGCCAACAAGCAUAUGAAAAAUGCUCAAUAUCACUGAUUAUUAGAGAAAUGCAAAUCAAAACAACAAUGAGAUAUAAUCUCACACCAAUCAGAAUGGCUGGUAGCAUUCUUUUUUAUCAAAAAGUCAAAAAAUAACAGUUUCUGACAAGGUUACACAGUAAAAGGAAUGCUUAUACACUGCUUGUGGAAAUGUAGUUCAGACACUGUGGAAAGCAGUUUGGAAAUUUCUCAAAGAACUUAAAAUAGAAAACAAUUCAACCCAGCUAUCCUAUUACUGGGUGUAUACACAAAGGGAUAUACAUCAUUCUACCAUAAAGACACAUGCAUGUGUAUGCUCAUAGCAGCACUAUUCACAACAGCAAAGGCAUGGAAUCAACCGAGAUGCCCAUCAACAGUGGACUGGAUAAAGAAAAUGUGGUACAUCUACACCAUGGCUACUAUGCAAUCAUAAAAAAGAAUGAAAUUGUGUCUUUUGCUGCAACAUGAAUGGAGCCGAAAGCUUUGUGAAGGUUCCAUUCACAAAGAUGGGAACAGUGGACACGGGACUCUACUUAAGGGUGGAGGUUGGGAGAAGGCUGAGGAUUGAAAAACUACCUAUUGGAUAUUAUGCUGAUUACCUGGAUGACAAAAUUAUCUGUACACCAAAUCCCUGCAACACACAAUUUACCUGUAUAACAAAUCUGUGCAUGUACCCCUUGAAGCUAAAAUAGAAGUUGGAAAGAAAAAAAUGCAAGUUAAAAAGAAAAAAAGGAGCUUUAGAGAUUCUUUGUAAAAAUCAAAAUCUUUUUGAAACUUUAUAGAAACUUUGUAGUAAUGAGCUAAUCCAUUCAGCGUUUUCUCUCCUGUAAUUACAGCAUAUAACCGUUACCUCCUCAAACAUUUUUUCAAAAUGUUUAUUCAGAACAAUGAUCCAGACAAAAGUUGAUUAUUUGAGGAAACAUUCUGUCUCUAAGGUCUGUAUGAUAGUGUAUUCAAUGAAUACAUCUAAUGCCAUUCAAACCAUUCAAGUACUAACUGAGCUUACUUAGUACUAUGAGCUCACAAUUACCUUAGGGCCACAAAACUUAAAUACUCUUAAACAAACCCUAAUAUAUAAUCGCUUAAAUGUCUCCUACCAACUCUAUUUAAAACUCAAAAUAAUUCAGACUCUUUCCCCAUUACGCAGAGUUG